GAUGAACGCUAGCGGCAGGCCUAACACAUGCAAGUCGAGGGAGAAGCCCUUCGGGGCAGAAACCGGCGCACGGGUGCGUAACGCGUAUGCAACCUACCUUUCACAGGGGGAUAGCCCGAAGAAAUUUGGAUUAAUACCCCAUAAUAUUAUUGGAUGGCAUCAUUUGAUAAUUAAAAUUACGAUGGUGAAAGAUGGGCAUGCGUCCUAUUAGCUAGUUGGAGUGGUAACGGCACCCCAAGGCUACGAUAGGUAGGGGUCCUGAGAGGGAGAUCCCCCACACUGGUACUGAGACAGGGACCAGACUCCUACGGGAGGCAGCAGUGAGGAAUAUUGGUCAAUGGUCGGAAGACUGAACCAGCCAUGCCGCGUGCAGGAAGAAUCCUUAUG
rnacentral:rRNA from 1 species